GUGGCCACGGCUGCCACGUUGAACAGCACAGACCACAGAACCAUUCCGCAAUCACUGUGCAGCGCUGUCCUAGAUUGUCCUUGAUUCCAGAGGAAGGACACUUCAGACAGCACUCAAAAUACUGGACAUUCUAUUAAAAAAAAGUUUUUACGAGCCUUCUGGGAGACAUGACAGAACAACUGAGCACCAGGAGGAUUUCACAGGUCACCCACUUAGAGGAGAGCAGGCCUGGGCUUCGACUGUCCCCACAGGCCCAGGAAAACAGAGACGCACUGGAAGAGCUCACUGCUGAGUUGGAAUACAUUUUAAAAGGAAUCAGGCAGAGAACCAGAGUGGGCUCCUGCCCUGGACACUACGGAAUGACAUGCUACAGGGGCACCUGGCUCCACUUGGCUCCGCCCUCCUCCACAGAGGGCUCUCCCCACUGCCAGCCCAUGACAGCACCAGCUUCACGCCACCACUGCCCUGGCCGAGUGCUCACAGGAGCUCACAGGCCUCCUGUGAGCGCCCCGUGGGCUCCCCCAGGGGCAGUGGGCACGCUUGGCUCGGCAGGUUUCUCUGAAUGCUCCGUAUUGUCCACUGCACCUGCGCCUCUGGGAACCUUGGGAACACCACCACCGGCUUUCUCGCCACAGCUGGGUUAAGGACCAAGUCCUCUGGUGAGCCCCUGUUCUCAUCAUUCCCUCGGUGGCCAUGUUUCCCCAGCUGUGCUCAGUUACAGUUUGAAAAAGCAGAGAAACAAUUUUAGACUCCGGGUCAAAUUAUCUUUCUCCAGAGCAUAUCCACUCUUGCUUCUAGCAGGUGAAUCACCUUCGACUGAUCAGAGAUGGAGGAAAUUUCAAGUCUGUUUUGUUUUAAUUUUGUUUGUUUUCACAUUUUUUUCCAUUUUGUUUGUUCUUGUUUUUCAGUGCAGGGGAUUGAACCCAGGGGUGCUCAACCACUGAGCCACAUCCCCAGCCCUUUUUAUCUUUUGUUUUGUGGCAGGGUCUUGCUGAGUUGCUUAGGACCCGGAUAAGUUGCUGAGGCUGGCUUUGAACUGGCAAUCCUCCUGCCUCAGACUCCUGAGAGCUAAGUCUGAUUUCAGUCCUCACCAGGUCUCACCUAUUUUGGCCCAACCCACUCUAUAAGGUCCCCCACUCUAUAAGUUUCUGUAAACUUAUAGAAACACGUCAGUGUUGAU
rnacentral:lncRNA from 1 species